AUUGAACGCUGGCGGCAGGCCUAACACAUGCAAGUCGAACGGUAACAGGAAGAAGCUUGCUUCUUUGCUGACGAGUGGCGGACGGGUGAGUAAUGUCUGGGAAACUGCCUGAUGGAGGGGGAUAACUACUGGAAACGGUAGCUAAUACCGCAUAACGUCGCAAGACCAAAGAGGGGGACCUUCGGGCCUCUUGCCAUCGGAUGUGCCCAGAUGGGAUUAGCUAGUAGGUGGGGUAACGGCUCACCUAGGCGACGAUCCCUAGCUGGUCUGAGAGGAUGACCAGCCACACUGGAACUGAGACACGGUCCAGACUCCUACGGGAGGCAGCAGUGGGGAAUAUUGCACAAUGGGCGCAAGCCUGAUGCAGCCAUGCCGCGUGUAUGAAGAAGGCCUUCGGGUUGUAAAGUACUUUCAGCGGGGAGGAAGGGAGUAAAGUUAAUACCUUUGCUCAUUGACGUUAACCGCAGAAGAAGCACCGGCUAACUCCGUG
rnacentral:rRNA from 1 species